rnacentral:rRNA from 1 species
CCACCGCGGUUAUACGAGAGACCCUAGUUGAUACCUACGGCGUAAAGAGUGGUUUGGGAUCUCCCUUAAAAUAAAGCCAAAGACCUUCCAAGCCGUCAAAUGCAUCCCGAAGGCACGAAGCCCCAACGCGAAAGCAACUUUACCUUACCCCCGACGCCACGAAAGCUAAGAAACAAACU